rnacentral:rRNA from 1 species
AGGAUUCCCCUAGUAACUGCGAGUGAAGAGGGAAAAGCUCAAAUUUAAAAUCUGGCAGUGUUCUCGCUGUCCGAGUUGUAAUUUAGAGAAGUGUUACCCGUGCUGGACCGUGUACAAGUCUUCUGGAAUGGAGCGUCAUAGAGGGUGAGAAUCCCGUCUUUGACACGGACUACCAGUACAUUGUGGUACGCUCUCAAAGAGUCGUGUUGUUUGGGAAUGCAGCACUAAAUGGGUGGUAAAUUCCAUCUAAAGCUAAAUAUUGGCGAGAGACCGAUAGCAAACAAGUACCGUGAGGGAAAGAUGAAAAGAACUUUGGAAAGAGAGUUAAACAGUACGUGAAAUUGUUGAAAGGGAAACGCUUAAAGUCCAGUCGCGUUGGUUGGAAAUCAGUCUUGCUUUUGCUUGAUGUACUUUCUGAUUGACGGGUCAGCAUCAGUUUUGACCGUUGGAUAAAGGUUGGAGGAAUGUGGCAUCUUCGGAUGUGUUAUAGCCUUCAAUUGUAUACAACGGUUGGGACUGAGGAACUCAGCACGCCGAAAGGCCGGGUCUUGUACCACGUUCGUGCUUAGGAUGCUGGCAUAAUGGCUUUAAUCG